CGGGUGGAUCACGAUGCAAUUUUGAUUAGCUUAGUAGGAGGAAAAUUGCACGGUAUCCAUCUGUA
rnacentral:pre_miRNA from 1 species